GACGAACGCUGGCGGCGUGCUUAACACAUGCAAGUCGAACGGAAAGGCCCUGCUUUUGCGGGGUGCUCGAGUGGCGAACGGGUGAGUAACACGUGUGUAACAUGUCCUUGUCUUUGGGAUAACUUCAGGGAACUGGGGCUCAUACAGGAUAGGAUCUCCUGCUGCAUGGUGGGGGUUGGAAAGUUUCGGCGGUUGGGGAUGGACUGGCGGCUUAUCGGCUUGUUGGUGAGGUAGUGGCUUACCAAGGCUUUGACGGGUAGCCGGCCUGGGAGGGUGACCGGGGUCAUUGGUACUGAGAUACGGCGCAGAAUCCUACGGGACGCAGCAGGGGAGAAUAUUGCACAGUAAGCGGGAGUCAGAUGUAGCAACCCUGCGUGCGUGAUGACGGCCUUCGGGGUGUAAACAGCUGUCGCAUGUACCGAAGCGAGAGUGACGGUAAUGGGUAAAGAAGCACCGGCUAACUACGUG
rnacentral:rRNA from 1 species